CACUGUAGUCUUUUAUCUCAAUUACAUUUAACUUAGAUUGUUUAUCAAGAUUUUGAGAAGCAAGAAGAGCUUCAAAACAGUUGAAUUGAGGGAAAAAGGCCAUGUUCUCCUUUGGAGCUACUUGAGGAUUCCAGUAAGAAUGAUUGGAUAAGUGAGAGGAUGGGAUGCUUCGAAGAGCAUGGAGAAGGUUUGCAAUAGCUUCCAUGAAGACUGGAAAACAUUCUGGAUAAAAAAUCGAAGGAAUUGUCUUAAGAAUUCAGGUGCUGAUCGUCAUAUGGCACCGAUAAAUGCAAUCACAUCCUGGGGAAUGACUAAAGACAUUAAGAUGCAGCAGAAAGACCAUAAGAAGAAAAAGAAAUGGGCUUAUACUUGAACUUGGAGCAACUGUUGUCAAGUAAACUAGACCUUCUAUGUUACUCCAAAAUGUCUCUGUAAUAAAAAAAGUAGUAAGGUGAGAAAAGGGUGGGACACAGAUUAGGAUAAAGAAGAUAGGCAGCAAAAGGAUUAUUAAGAAAUAACUUGGGUCAAGAUUGUAACUGUGAUAUUUUAGUUGAAAAAAAGUUAUAAAAAUUUUUUUAGAAGGAAGAUUUGAUAGUGAACCCCAAAAUUCUGUGUGUAAUCUACAAUGGCACAUGAAAUAUUAGUUAUUAUUUUACGUUUUGAAUUUCACUGUAUAUAUUAAGUCUUCUGAA